AGGAUACCGCCUCCUCUACCCCCGGCCCCCAAAGCCCUUUUGUUUCCAAGAUGGCCUCCGAGUUCUGUUUUAAUACGCACGGAACAAAGCCAAUUGAACACCCUUAAGCUUAGCGGAAAGCGAGAAUUGUAGGGAAACUAAGGCACCAGAAGGUCGAGUAGUUGCCGGAAGCAUCGCAGCUAGUAAAUGAGGGAAACGGAGUCCAGCCCAGGCAGUCUAAGGAGAGCCUGCGCCAGGCUGCCGCUGUGCCACAUGCUGCCUCCGAAAACACAGCAGGGAGUCCAUGAUGUCUUCUAAUUGCAGCACUUUUGGGGGACGAGCGUUAUUUUGAAAGAAAUUCAAGACUUUUUAAUGUUUAUGAAGUCAAGCUGGUGUGGUAGCCAGCCUUCAAGAUGGCCCCAGUGAUACUCCCCCAGUCUGGUAUUCCAGGUCUCCUCUGGUCCCCGUCAUACAGAACACGGCUGAUCUGUGUAAUCAUGAUGUGUGGCAUCUGAGGCUAGAUCAUAACAGACAUUACAAGUGCUACCUUCUACCUCUGCUCUCUCUUGAAUGACUCACUCUGAGGGAAGCUAGCUACCCUAUUGUGAAGACACUCAGACAGCCCUAUGUGAGAUCCAUCUGGCAAGGAACUGAGGCCUCCUGCAAACAGCUUUGUGAGUAAACCAUCUUAUAAGAGGAUCCACCAGCUCCAGUCAAGCCUUCAGCUGACAUCAUGACUACAACCUCAUGGGAGACCCGGAGACAGAAUCACAAAGCUAGGCUGCUCUGAUUACUGACCUACAGAAACCGUGUGAGAUAAUACGUGUACAUUAUUGUUUCAGCCACAAAGUUUUGUGGUGAUUUUUUAACAUACUAUAGAUAACAGUGGGGUUUCUAUCUUUUGUAAUAGAAAAACUGAUGAUUAAUA